AUUGAACGCUGGCGGCAGGCCUAACACAUGCAAGUCGAGCGGAUGAAGAGAGCUUGCUCUCUGAUUCAGCGGCGGACGGGGGAGUAAUGCCUAGGAAUCUGCCUGGUAGUGGGGGACGACGUUUCGAAAGGAACGCUAAUACCGCAUACGUCCUACGGGAGAAAGUGGGGGAUCUUCGGACCUCACGCUAUCAGAUGAGCCUAGGUACGAUUAGCUAGUUGGUGAGGUAAAGGCUCACCAAGGCGACGAUCGUUAACUGGUCUGAGAGGAUGGUCAGUCACACUGGAACUGAGACACGGUCCAGACUCCUACGGGAGGCAGCAGUGGGGAAUAUUGGACAAUGGGCGAAAGCCUGAUCCAGCCAUGCCGCGUGUGUGAAGAAGGUCUUCGGAUUGUAAAGCACUUUAAGUUGGGAGGAAGGGCAGUAAGUUAAUACCUUGCUGUUUUGACGUUACCGACAGAAUAAGCACCGGCUAACUUCGUGCCAGCAGCCGCAGUAACAC
rnacentral:rRNA from 1 species